rnacentral:lncRNA from 1 species
UUCCUGGGCCUCUGUUGUCUGGGAUUUUUUGCACAGUGGAAUGUUUAGGGCCUGAUCUGACUGAAUUGUCCCUUCCAAUCUUUCACUUCUGCAGGUAGGUAUAGACUCACCAACCUCCUUUAAAAAGAGCGCCCUUCAGAAGCCUUAAUGAGCACAGCUAUGUCUCUAUCCCAACCCUAAAAUAUAAAAUUAGGGCCAGGAGGUGCAAUAAAUCCCCCUUUCUUGCCAGGUGUGGUGGCUCACGCUUGUAAUCCCAGUGGCUUAUGAGGCUGAGGCAGGAGAAUCGUGAGUUCAAAGCCAGCCUCUGUCAACUCAGUGAGACCCUGUUUCUAAAUAAAAUACAAAAAAGGGCUGUGGAUGUGGCUCAGUGGUUGAGCGCCCCUGGGUUCAUCCCUGGUAUUAAAAAAAAAAAUGCUUUUCCCUCUAUGGCUACUUGAAUGACUUUUGGAGGAAAGAUGAAGAAGUCAAGAGUUUUCAAAAUAAUGUCUGGAUCCACUCUGAUUUUACUAAAGCCUGUGCUGCUUUUGCCUGGUGUCCCCCCUCCCCACCCUCACCCCUCCCCCUCCUCCGCUGGAGGGCAGCUCAAAUGAUGGAGGUGACCACUGCAGUGUUCUGAAUUUACCCGCUCACUGCCCACUGUCCUGUCUUUCAGGCCUUCCUUGGGAUCUCGGACUACAUUCAUCUGCGAGGCUGCCAUAGCACAGUACGACCCUGGGUGGCUCACACACCACUGAAAUUUAUUUUCUUACACUUCUGUGGCAGGAAGUCUAAGAGCACCAUUCAGGCAGGGUGGGUUUCUCCGGAGGCCUCUCUCUGGCUUGUAGAUGGCCAUGCUCUCUCUGGGUCGUCACAAGGCCAUUUCUGCAUGUGUGUCUGCAUCCUGAUUUCCUCUUCUUAUAAGGACAGCUGUCGAAUGGGAGUAGGGUGCAAGCUUCUCACCUCAUUUGUUCUCCAGUCCCUCUUUAAAGACAGAAUCUCCAAAUACAGCCAUGUUCCAUAUUCACAGGAGUUAAGAUUGCAACAUAUAAAUUUAGGGACACCACCGAGCCCAUCACAGGGACUAAAAAACAAAUGAAACCAGAACACUCAGUGUUCCCUUGGAGUCAGCCUUCACCAUGCUACUUUAUUUGUGUGUGGAUCUUUUUCUGUGCCCCUUUUUCUUUGCCCAACAAGCAGAGGCUGCAGGGGCCCAGGGGAAGGGCUUUGUCUCAUCUCACUCCAUGACUGAAGGGAGAAGGUUUAAACAGACUGGCGAGGAUGUGUAUCUUGCUGAGUUUCCCAAAUUAAGAUUCUGUUUAAAGUGAACUGAAUGCAGAGACUACAGUUAAGAUUAUAAAUAAACUUUCUUAAGCAUUUAAACCUACACAAUUAAUUAUGAAUAUCUUAUACAACUCUGUCUGUAAGUAAACUCACCGCGCUGGGUUUCAUUAGCCCACCAAUCCCUCUGCACACAGCAAAUUGGCAACACUCGCUGGCCAGAAGUGGCUCAAGCUGGCUCUCUCUGCUCCUCGUGUCAGUUGUCAUCGGCAGAGGUGGCCCAGGU